rnacentral:rRNA from 1 species
AUUGAACGCUGGCGGCAGGCCUAACACAUGCAAGUCGAACGAGUGGCGGACGGGUGAGUAAUGUCUGGGAAACUGCCUGAUGGAGGGGGAUAACUACUGGAAACGGUAGCUAAUAACGCCUACCAUCGGAUGUGCCCAGAUGGGAUUAGCUUGUAGGUGGGGUAAAGGCUCACCUAGGCGAAGAUCCCUCGCUGGUAUGAGAGGAUGAACAGCUCCACUGGAAUGGAGACACGGUCCAGACUCCUACGGUAGGGAGCGGUGGGGAGUAGUGCACAAUGGGCGCAAGCCUGAUGCAGCCAUGCCGCGUGUAUGAAGAAGGCCUUCGGGUUGGAAAGGACUUUCAGCGGGGAGGCGUUACCCGCAGAAGAAGCACCGGCUAACUCCGUGCCAGCAGCCGCGGUAAUUC